rfam:Marine metagenome 1096626799814, whole genome shotgun sequence.
GGGUUUGUGAGGAAAAACGCCUCACAGGGUGGAAACAAGGACACACUCCUGCGAGCCGUUUUGGA